AAACAAUAUUUGGACGGCCAUGAUUUAACGACAUACGCCCUUUCUCCUCAGUAUCUUUACCUUCCCGUCGACCGCCGACCGUCGUAAACCGUUAACCAAGCCGACCUCCUUUUCUCUAUCCCGCACCUCAUAAAAAACCCCUUCCAUUCUGCAGAAAGGAGGAGAGAGAAAACAUACAUAGCUCGCAAAAAUGGAAGCAAGGAAAGUCAUUGUUUCUGCUCUUUAGUUCGCUUGCUCUGAUUACAUUUCUCUCAAUCUCUCUUCCGCUGAAAGGUGCAAGAUGUUCCCAAACUUUGGCGAGAACGCUUCCAAGCCCACUAUUCACAUCUACGGUGUUGCUCCCAAGAUCUCGGGUCAAAAGCUUACCCGUUACAAAAAAUUUGAAGUCGAUUUGGACUUUUUACCAUAUCAGUCGAACUUGUCGGUACCAAAAAUGCCAUCAAGAUUCAAGAGACGUGUCUAUAUUUGUCUACAAAAGCGCAUUUGAAAGUUGCUAACUUCACUGUGAAAUUGUUUUAUCAAAGAGUCGACUGUAUAUUUGGCUGAUAUUCAAUAUUACAAUUUCAAAUUCUUCAUCAUAGAAUGUCUAGUCAUUGUUCAUUUGUAUGUUGGUUAUAAUUUCGUUAGUAAUACUAAAUGUAAUUACGUACUAUAACUUUGUAAUGUUACUAUGUAAUGACGUUAUGUUUUCUAUA